AAACACCGUACCUCAGGACAGAUGAUGAAACUGUUACUGCAACACAAUAAUAAUAUUAAACAUGGAAGGAAAUAGCUGACUAAAUCUGUGGAAGGACUUGACCAUAGUAUUUAGUUACAUGGGAUACUCCUCUCUGAAGUAAAGUCUUUCUUUGUGAAAUUUCCACGACAAUCAUUGUGGUGGAGUUUCGGUGGAGGCACCAAACUCAUCAUGACUUGGGUGUGGUACGUCCCUCCCUGACCGUCCUACUUCCCUCCAGUGAGGAGCAGGACCAGGGGAAUGUGGCCCUAGUGUGCCUGGCCAAGGGUUUUUGCUGUAUAGAUCAGGAGUUUAGGAGCCUGUCCAGGUUUCUGCAGAUCUUGUCUGAAGCAACAGCUCAGAGAGAAGACUUUCCCAUUCAAACCUAUUAGAAUCAGUAGAGAGAGAUGCUGAGACUUUCUCACCCUGAGUCAGGAACCCCAGAGGGGUUCAGAUUUGAUAGACACACUCUCUCCCAGGCAAACAGACUUUGAUUAAUCAGCUUGAUUCAGGACACGUGCAGAUGACUCUGAACUGGAAACAGUGAAUAAUUUGCUUUGAGUCAUCACAAUAAUUCAAAUACAGGCAUUGGAAUCGUGUUCCAUGUGAAAACAUAUAGAAGCCCAUUAAAACCUGUUAAAACCAGUAGACCACAAUGAGAUGCUGAGAGUUCCUCACCCUGAGUCAGGAGGAACGCCAGCAUGAUCAGCAUCUUCCUCAUCUGUGGCUCUAAGAAGACUGACUGGACACAACGAGGAUAACACUGCAGUCUUAGUGUCAGGAGCAGUGAGGCUCAACAGCUAUGCAAAACACCACUCUAUGGGCAAACACACCUGCUGGGUGUGAAAGAGAGAGAGGAGACAGAUAGAUUGAGAGGUGACAGAGAGAGAACUUGUAUAUCUGUUAUUUUGCUGUUAGCUGUGAGUCAUUCUAUUCUAGGGGUCAACUAUAGGAGGAUUACUAAAUCAUGUAUUAAAGGGUAGGUUCACCACCAAAUAAAAAAAAUUGUCAGACAUAUUACAUCCAAAGUGUUGUGUCAAGCUGAGCCCAAAUUGUAUUUCAUUUUAGGAUGAACAUCCCGCUGGUAUACCAUUCCUCAAAUGUUAAUAGCCAGGAUCCAACAGACUGCACAAAUGAGUCGGCCUACAGGUGAUGCCUAGCCUAACAGGAGCCUUACUAACUACUGUACAGUGAUGACCAUUUACAUUGACCCCCCCCCCCUUUUGUACACUGCUGUUACUUGCUGUUUAUUAUCUAUGCAUAGUCACUUCACCCCCCACCUACAUGUACAAAUGACCUCAACUACCCUGUACCCCCCUACACUGACUCUGUACCGGUGCCCUCUAUAUAUCACCUCAUUAUUGAUAUUCUUAUUGUGUUACUUUUAAAUUUUAGUCUACUUGGUAAAUAUUUUCUUAACUUUUAUUGAACUGCACUGUUAAGAGCUUGUAAGUAAGCAUUUCACGGUAAAGUCUUCACAUGUUGUAGUUGGCGCACGUGACAAAUAAAGUUAGAUUUUUUAAAAUUCUCAUAUUUGCAGGUUGA